rnacentral:snoRNA from 1 species
UGGCUGUGAUGACACCCUCUCCCUGACCUCCCCGUGGAGCGGAUACCGAGCUUUUUAACCCUGAGCCAG